GGGCGAUUAGCUCAGUUGGCUAGAGCGCGUCAUUGACGUUGACGAGGUCGGGGAUUCGAGCUCCUCAUCGCCCACCA
rnacentral:tRNA from 2 species